rnacentral:rRNA from 1 species
UAUGGGUUAGUGGCGGACGGGUGAGUAACGCGUGGGUAACCCGCCUUACACAGGGGGAUAACACUUAGAAAUAGGUGCUAAAACCGCAUAAGCGCACAGCUUCGCAUGAAGCGGUGUGAAAAACUCCGGUGGUGUAAGAUGGACCCGCGUCUGAUUAGCUUGUUGGCGGGGUAACGGCCCACCAAGGCGACGAUCAGUAGCCGGCCUGAGAGGGCGGACGGCCACAUUGGGACUGAGACACGGCCCAGACUCCUACGGGAGGCAGCAG